CAGUAGCCGCGGGAACACGAAGGGGGCUAGCGUUGUUCGGAAUUACUGGGCGUAAAGCGCACGUAGGCGGACAUUUAAGUCAGGGGUGAAAUCCCGGGGCUCAACCCCGGAACUGCCUUUGAUACUGGGUGUCUAGAGUAUGGAAGAGGUGAGUGGAAUUCCGAGUGUAGAGGUGAAAUUCGUAGAUAUUCGGAGGAACACCAGUGGCGAAGGCGGCUCACUGGUCCAUUACUGACGCUGAGGUGCGAAAGCGUGGGGAGCAAACAGGAUUAGAUACCCCAGUAGUCCUGUCUCUUAUACA
rnacentral:rRNA from 1 species